rnacentral:rRNA from 1 species
AGUGAACGCUGGCGGUAGGCCUAACACAUGCAAGUCGAACGGCAGCACAGUAAGAGCUUGCUCUUACGGGUGGCGAGUGGCGGACGGGUGAGGAAUACAUCGGAAUCUACUUUUUCGUGGGGGAUAACGUAGGGAAACUUACGCUAAUACCGCAUACGACCUACGGGUGAAAGCAGGGGAUCUUCGGACCUUGCGCGAUUGAAUGAGCCGAUGUCGGAUUAGCUAGUUGGCGGGGUAAAGGCCCACCAAGGCGACGAUCCGUAGCUGGUCUGAGAGGAUGAUCAGCCACACUGGAACUGAGACACGGUCCAGACUCCUAAGGGGGGCAGCAGUGGGGAAUAUUGGACAAUGGGCGCAAGCCUGAUCCAGCCAUACCGCGUGGGUGAAGAAGGCCUUCGGGUUGUAAAGCCCUUUUGCUGGGAAAGAAAAGCAGCAGGUUAAUACCCCGCUGUUCUGACGGUACCCAAAGAAUAAGCACCGGCUAACUUCGUG